ensembl:snRNA U6 U6 spliceosomal RNA
GUGCUCUCCUCAGCAGCGCAUAGACUAAAGUUGGAACAAUACAGAAAAGAUUAGCACAGGCUCUGCACAGGAAUGACACACAAAUUUGCGAAGCAUUCCAUAUUUUU